GACGAACGCUGGCGGCGUGCCUAAUACAUGCAAGUCGAACGCAGUUGCGCACGGGUGAGUAACGCGUAGGUAACUGCCUCAUAGCGGGGGGUAACUAUUGGAAACGAUAGCUAAAACCGCAUACUGUGAGAUGGACCUGCGUUGUAUUGGCUAGUUGGUGGGGUAAAGGCGCACCAAGGCGACGAUACAUAGCCGACCGGAGAGGGUGAGUGGCCACACUGGGACUUGGACACGGCCCAGACUCCUACGGGAGGCAGCAGGAGGGAAACUUCGGAAAUGGACGGAAGUCUGACCGAGCAACGCCGCGGGGGUGAAGAAGGUUUUCGGAUCGUAAAGCUCUGUUGUUAGAGAAGCGGUAACUACCCAGAAAGGGACGGCUAACUACGUGCCAGCCGCCGCGGUAAUUC
rnacentral:rRNA from 1 species